rnacentral:tRNA from 1 species
CUCUAGUAGUGUAUCUAGCACAUGAGCUUUUCGUGCUUAGAGAAAAAUAGUUAUUUUUUAGAGUAA